GGGGGGAGUAUGGUCGCAAGGCUGAAACUUAAAGGAAUUGACGGAAGGGCACCACCAGGAGUGGAGCCUGCGGCUUAAUUUGACUCAACACGGGGAAACUCACCAGGUCCAGACACAAUAAGGAUUGACAGAUUGAGAGCUCUUUCUUGAUUUUGUGGGUGGUGGUGCAUGGCCGUUCUUAGUUGGUGGAGUGAUUUGUCUGCUUAAUUGCGAUAACGAACGAGACCUUAACCUACUAAAUAGUGCGAUCAGCUUUUGCUGAUUUUGACACUUUUUAGAGGGACUAUGGAUUCCAAGUGGAUGGAAGUUGGAGCCAAUACCAGUUUUGGGAUCCCCUUAGACGUUCUGGCCCCCCCCCCCGCUCCCCUGCCGGACCCACCGAGUCAUAACCUUGGCCGAGAGGUCUGGGUAAUCUUGUGAAACUCCGUCGUGCUGGGGAUAGAGCAUUGCAAUUAUUGCUCUUCAACGAGGAAUUCCUAGUAAGCGCAAGUCAUCAGCUUGCGUUGAUUACGUCCCUGCCCUUUGUACACACCGCCCGUCGCUACUACCG
rnacentral:rRNA from 1 species